rnacentral:rRNA from 1 species
UACGUAGGGCGCAAGCGUUAUCCGGAUUCACUGGGCUUAAAGGGUGCGUAGGUAGGCUGGUAAGUCCGUGGUGAAAUCUCCGAGCUUAACUCGGAAACUGCCGUGGAUACUAUCAAUCUUGAAUACUGUGGAGGUAAGCGGAAUAUGUCAUGUAGCGGUGAAAUGCUUAGAUAUGACAUAGAACACCAAUUGCGAAGGCAGCUCGCUACACGAAUAUUGACUCUGAGGCACGAAAGCGUGGGGAUCAAACAGG